rnacentral:lncRNA from 1 species
ACUUUGCGGGCGGCCUCUGUGUGCCAAAAAUAGGCCACGGGCAGAGCCGCGCCCAAAAAUGAGCUCCCGAAGGUCGGGUUCCAACACCCCCCAGCGGAAAAAUGGCCAAAAAACGGAUGGGCUAUAGCCUUGGUGGGGGGCUUGGGCGAUGUUCGUCCGCCGGACUCGGAAUAGCUCCAGAUUUUACGGGCAGCCUCCGUGUGCCAAAAAUAGGCCACGGGCACAGCCGCGCCCAAAAAUGAGCGCCCGAAGGUCGGGGUGCCAACACCCCCCAGCGGAAAAAUGGCCAAGAAACGGGUGUGCUAUAGCCUUGGUGGGGGGCGUGGGCGAAGUUCGUCCGCCGGACUCGGAAUGGCCCCAGACUUUGCGGGCGGCCUCCGUGUGCCAAAAAUAGGCCACGGGCACAGCCGCGCCCAAAAAUGAGCGCCCGAAGGUCGGGGCGCCAACACCCCCCAGCGGAAAAAUGGCCAAGAAACGGGUGUGCUAUAUCCUUGGUGGGGGGCGUGGGCGAAGUUCGUCCGCCGGACUCGGAAUGGCCCCAGACUUUGCGGGCUGCCUCCUUGUGCCAAAAAUAGGCCACGGGCACGGCCGCACCCAAAAAUGAGCGNNNNNNNNNNNNNNNNNNNNNNNNNNNNNNNNNNNNNNNNNNNNNNNNNNNNNNNNNNNNNNNNNNNNNNNNNNNNNNNNNNNNNNNNNNNNNNNNNNNNNNNNNNNNNNNNNNNNNNNNNNNNNNNNNNNNNNNNNNNNNNNNNNNNNNNNNNNNNNNNNNNNNNNNNNNAAAAUGAGCGCCCGAAGGUCGGGGCGCCGACACUCGCCUGCGGAAAAAUGGCCAAAAAACGGGUGGGCUAUAGCCUUGGUGGGGGGCGUGGGCGAUAUUCGUCCGCCGGCCUCGGAAUGGCCCCAGACUUUGCGGGCUGCCUCCGUGUACCAAAAAUGGGCCACGGGCACAGCCGCGCCCAAAAAUGAGCGCCCGAAGGUCGGGGCGCCAACACCCCCCAGCGGAAAAAUGGCCAAAAAACGGGUGGGCUAUAGCCUUGGUGGGGGGCGUGGGCGAAGUUCGUCCGCCGGACUCGGAAUGGCCCCAGACUUUGCGGGCGGCUUCCGUGUGCCAAAAAUAGGCCACGGGUACAGCCGCGUCCAAAAAUGAGAGCCCGAAGGUCGGGGCGCCAACACCCCCCAGCGGAAAAAUGGCCAAAAAACGGGUGGGCUAUAGCCUUGGCGGGGGGCAUGGGCGAAGUUCGUCCGCCGAACUCGGAAUGGCCCCAGACUUUGUGGUCGGCCUCCGUGUGCCAAAAAUAGGCCACGGGCAGAGCCGCGCCCAACAAUGAGCUACCGAAGGUCGGGGCGCCAACAGCCCCCAGCGGAAAAAUGGCAAAGAAACGGGUGUGCUAUAGCGUUGGUGGGGGGCGUGGGCGAAGUUCGUCCGCCGGAAUCGGAAUGGCCCAAGACUUUGCGGGCGGCCUCCGUUUUCCAAAAAUAGGCCACGGGCACAGCCGCGCUCAAAAAUGAGCAUCCGAAGGUUGGGGCGCCAACAACCCCCCAGCGGAAAAAUGGCCAAAAAACGUGUGGGCUAUAGCCUUGGUGGGGGGCGUGGGCGAAGUUCGUCCGCCGGACUCGGAAUUGCCCCAUACUUUGCGGACGGACUCCGUGUGCCAAAAAUAGGCCACGGGCACAGCCGCGCCCAAAAAUGAGCGCCCGAAGGUCGGGGCGCCAACACCCCCCAGCGGAAAAAUGGCCAAAAAACGGGUGGGCUAUAGCCUUGGUGGGGGGCGUGGGCGAAGUUCGUCCGCCGGACACGGAAUGGCCCCAGACUUUGCGGGCGGCUUCCGUGUGCCAAAAAUAGGCCACGGGUACAGCCGCGCCAAAAAAUGAACGCCCGAAGGUCGGGGCGCCAACACCCCCCAGUGGAAAAAUGGCCAAAAAACGGGUGGGCUAUAGCCUUGGUGGGGGGCGUGGGCGACGUUCGUCCGCCGGACUCGGAAUGGCCCCAGACAUUGCGGGCGGCCUCCGUGUACCAAAAAUAGGCCACGGGCAGAGCCGCGCCCAACAAUGAGCUACCGAAGGUCGGGGCGCCAACACCCCCCAGCGGAAAAAUGGCCAAAAAACGGGUGGGCUAUAGCCUUGGCGGGGGGCAUGGGCGAAGUUCGUCCGCCGAACUCGGAAUGGCCCCAGACUUUGUGGUCGGCCUCCGUGUGCCAAAAAUAGGCCACGGGCACAGCCGCGCCCAAAAAUGAGCGCCCGAAGGUCGGGGCGCCAACCCCCCCCAGCGGAAAAAUGGCAAAGAAACGGGUGUGCUAUAGCCUUGGCGGGGGGCGUGGGCGAAGUUCGUCCGCCGGACUCGGAAUGGCCCAAGACGUUGUGGGCGGCGUCCGUGUGCCAAAAAUAGGCCACGGGCACAGCCGCGCCCAAAAAUGAGCGCCCGAAGGUCGGGGCGCCAAUACCCCCCAGCGGAAAAAUGGCCAAAAAAUGGGUGUGCUAUAGCCUUGGCGGGGGGGCGUGGGCGAAGUUCGUCCGCCGGACUCGGAAUGGCCCCAGACUUUGCGGGCAGCCUCCGUGUGCCAAAAAUAGGCCAGGGGCACAGCCGCGCCCAAAAAUGAGCGCCCGAAGGUCGGGGUGCCAACACCCCCCUGCGGAAAAAUGGCAAAGAAACGGGUGUGCUAUAGCCUUGGUGGGGGUCGUGGGCGAAGUUCGUCUGCCGGACUCGGAAUGGCCCAAGACUUUGCGGGCUGCCUCCAUGUGCCAAAAAUAGGCCACGGGCACAGCCGCGCCCAAAAAUGAGCGCCCGAAGGUCGGGGCGCCGACACUCGCCUGCGGAAAAAUGGCCAAAAAACGGGUGGGCUAUAGCCUUGGUGGGGGGCGUGGGCGAAGUUCGUCCGCCGGACUCGGAAUGGCCCCAGACUUUGCGGGCGGCUUCCGUGUGCCAAAAAUAGGCCACGGGUACAGCCGCGUCAAAAAAUGAGCGCCCGAAGGUCGGGGCGCCAACACCCCCCAGCGGAAAAAUGGCAAAGAAACGGGUGUGCUAUAGCGUUGGUGGGGGGCGUGGGCGAAGUUCGUCCGCCGGAAUCGGAAUGGCCCAAGACUUUGCGGGCGGCCUCCGUUUUCCAAAAAUAGGCCACGGGCACAGCCGCGCCCAAAAAUGAGCAUCCGAAGGUUGGGGCGCCAACAACCCCCCAGCGGAAAAAUGGCCAAAAAACGUGUGGGCUAUAGCCUUGGUGGGGGGCGUGGGCGAAGUUCGUCCGCCGGACUCGGAAUUGCCCCAUACUUUGCGGGCGGACUCCGUGUGCCAAAAAUAGGCCACGGGCACAGCCGCGCCCAAAAAUGAGCGCCCGAAGGUCGGGGCGCCAACACCCCCCAGCGGAAAAAUGGCCAAAAAACGGGUGGGCUAUAGCCUUGGCGGGGGGCGUGGGCGAAGUUCGUCCGUCGGACACGGAAUGGCCCCAGACUUUGCGGGCGGCUUCCGUGUGCCAAAAAUAGGCCACGGGUACAGCCGCGCCAAAAAAUGAACGCCCGAAGGUCGGGGCGCCAACACCCCCCAGCGGAAAAAUGGCCAAAAAACGGGUGGGCUAUAGCCUUGGUGGGGGGCGUGGGCGACGUUCGUCCGCCGGACUCGGAAUGGCCCCAGACAUUGCGGGCGGCCUCCGUGUACCAAAAAUAGGCCACGGGCAGAGCCGCGCCCAACAAUGAGCUACCGAAGGUCGGGGCGCCAACACCCCCCAGCGGAAAAAUGGCCAAAAAACGGGUGGGCUAUAGCCUUGGCGGGGGGCAUGGGCGAAGUUCGUCCGCCGAACUCGGAAUGGCCCCAGACUUUGUGGUCGGCCUCCGUGUGCCAAAAAUAGGCCACGGGCACAGCCGCGCCCAAAAAUGAGCGCCCGAAGGUCGGGGCGCCAACACCCCCCAGCGGAAAAAUGGCAAAGAAAAGGGUGUGCUAUAGCCUUGGUGGGGGGCGUGGGCGAAGUUCGUCCGCCGGACUCGGAAUGGCCCAAGACUUUGUGGGCGGCCUCCGUGUGCCAAAAAUAGGCCACGGGCACAGCCGCGCCCAAAAAUGAGCGCCCGAAGGUCGGGGCGCCAAUACCCCCCAGCGGAAAAAUGGCCAAAAAACGGGUGGGCUAUAGCCUUGGCGGGGGGCGUCGGCGAAGUUCGUCCGCCGGACUC